AUGAUGGCAGUUGGAAUAACAGGGACUGGAAAGUUCAGAAGAAGCUUCGGAAAUAAAAUCAAGAGAAUGAAGUUUUUGUUAUUGUUUUUUAACGUGGGGAUGAGAAAAACUUUCUUUUGGUCUUCAGAUAAAGAAAAGCCAAGACACUGGACAUUGAUUUCCUCUUGCAUUUUAUUUGAAGUGAAUUCACGAUGGUGGAUGGGAAAACUAGAGCCAGAAAUCUUUGCCCUGAGCACAAACCAAAGCAAAAUCAAAGCCUUUCUGAGAGUUAUUCUAGGUAGAAAACAUACAUACGGCUUAAACAAGGAUGGUAGCCGCAUGCAAAGGCAAAGAAAAUGGAACAGGGAAAUCUUAAACAUGUCUUCAAGAAGAUGAAAUUCAGAAAACAGACUCUGGGAAUCCUUGACUAGCAGAAGUCUGUCUGUCCCGCUCAGCUGGAGGUUUCAGAAGAGUUUAUGUAAGAAAAGAUACUCCAGAUAAAUAAACAUUCUAAUCUUAGCCUGAAUAUUUGUUAU
rnacentral:lncRNA from 1 species